CAGGAGUUCAUAUCCAAUGAUUCUCAAUUGCAUGCGGCCCUGCCUCUCCUCUCAAAGAGUUUGGUUUACUUAAAAGUACGUCACCUUCAUUUGUGGGACAUCUGGAAAUCAGCCUUGUGAGUGCACGUGCAGAGGACUGCCCGCUCCAGCCUGGCUCUGCUCACUGGAGUGGGGAAAUAACAGAUUAACACCGUGCUGUUAGAGCAGAGCAGGAGCGGUCACACUGACCAAAGGAAAAGAGCUUCUUCUCGUCCGCCCUCUUGGUGUUACAGGGGAAAGCAGGUGGCGGAGGUGCGGCUCCUUUUCUCCAGGCUGACGCUGCCGCCGCAUGUUUACGGAGCAUGCUGUCCGAUCUCUAGCCUCGGGGUGUCUUCCCGUUCCUGCCUCAGCCCCUUUCUGCAUCAAAGUGCCCCCAUGUCAUCUUCUCCCUAGAGCGCCCCAACCUAAAUCUGAAGAAAACCACAAUGCUUUUCAGUUUGACUCGCACGAGGCGGCCAGUGCAACGGAGCAGCAUCAACUCGCCCCCCUUCCCGCCCGCAGCGUCACUCCAGACCCAGACCUCUGCCUGCAGCGUCCACAGCCUCUGUCUUCCCGUCGUCCUUAGCCUCAGCUUUGCGCCCUCAGGGCCUCCCGAGGUGCCGAGAUCCUGUGAGGAGCCGGACAAGGAAGUGUCGCUGCCCAGGGCCACGUGACAGAACGGGUGCAUGACACGGGGUCUCAGAGAGCAGCAACUGAAACCAGGCGGCGACCCCAGCUACCUGGUCCGGAACCCGGACCGGCCAGUCAGGCGCCGCUGCAGCGGGACCAGGCUGCUUCUGCCUUGCUUUCUAGCUUAUGGGCCUGGGCAGUGUGGUUACUUCCUGUUACCUACCUGAUCUUGCUUUAAGGCCGGCACUGCCUCACAUGCUCUUCUGUUUGGAUGCACUAGAUCACUACCAUGAAGUUAAAAAACACACUCCAGUCUACAGCUGCUGAUUCUUUUAACAACAUACAAUGUAAAACCUGCCUGUAAACGUUAUCAUCAACUGCUGUUCUGACAUGUCAGGAAAGUACUGUCCCAGAGAGAGCCAGUCAUUUGAACUAGAAAAUUAUGUUUCAAACAAAAAAUUUGUU
rnacentral:lncRNA from 1 species